GCCAUCAAAGGCUAGAGAAAAUCUUCCCUUGGCAGCACACGCUGCCUCCCCCGAUGGUGCUAAUGUUCCGAGAGAGAUGCUUUAUGGGUCACUGAUGGAAAGAUGCAUCGUGGUUUUUGAAUGACGCCAGCUCGGACCUGAGUUCCCAUCCCAUCUCUGCCACUUUCUACCUAUGUGACCUGGGCAAGUCCCUUGGUUUCUUCCUCCUUAAAUUAGGGCUAAGAGAGCCUCCCCUCUAGAGAGCAGUCAGCAGCUGAUACUGAUUGAGCGCUUAACUAAACUAUUCCCAUUGAUUAUUUAACUUGUUAUUCACAAGGUUCCCAUGAUGGACACCAUUUUGCAGAAGAGGAAGUGAAGCUCAGAGAGGGUCUACCAUGUACCGAAGGCUCCGUGAAUGGUUACUGUGGAAGCCAACAGGUUCUGCAGACUUCCAGGGAUGUGAGGAGAGAUCCUGCGGAUAUUAGAGGACUGCAGGUUUCUUGCUUCUAAAAUAAGGAUAGCGAACCAGCGGGAUCAUCCCAAGGAUUAGAGAGAAUGCUCACAACAUAAUCAGCACAGUGUCCCCCGCUCCACCUAUAGAGAUUUUGACUGCUUCGUUGGCCUGGAACUCUGAGCAACAAGAAUGGGUGUGGACCCUGCCAACUCACAGAAGAGGAGAUGAGAUACAGAGACGAAGAGAGCCAUAUGGAGAUGGCACAGAGGGAAGAGAGCCAUAUGGAGAUGGAAUCAGAGAUUGGAGUUCUGCUACCAGAAACCUAAGAAACCGUGGGCCCACCAGAAGUUGGAAAAGAUCUUGGCCAUGAGAGGACUGCCACACCUCAGAGCCAACGGAACAAGAAAAGCUGCCAGCUCUGCAGCUUUGCCAAACACCGCUUCCCCCCACAUCAGAGAAACCAGUGACCUGUAUCUGCAAUUUGAGGAAGAGCGACAUCUUUCAUGGCCACGGUGAAGGGCACUGCCUGACAUACUUAAGAAACAUGAUCUACCGUCACUCAUGCCGCCCCAGAGCCCAAGUGGCAGAGUCGGGACUCGGAUUCUGAGCCUUGAACCAGCACACCGUAUGAUCUCAACGGAUUGUUGUGAGACGGCCAUCGUUACAACUCCAGGCCAGGCUGAGUGUGACAAGUUCUCCCACCUGCCCUUGGCGUCACCUCCAUGCAGACCAAGUGCUGCCCCCUGAAGAGUGCUGCGUAAGCUUUGCCACAUUCAGAUCCCACCCUGAGCAUCGUCUGACUUCUGCCAUAUCCAAACUCUUGCUCUUGUGAGGGGUGGAAGUGAUUUUCUUUCUGCCCUUCAGGUACUUGGCUGAGACCCCUGUAAUAAAAGAAAGGUUAACGAAA